AACGAACGCUGGCGGCAUGCCUAACACAUGCAAGUCGAACGAGACCUUCGGGUCUAGUGGCGCACGGGUGCGUAACGCGUGGGAACCUGCCCUUAGGUUCGGAAUAACUCCCCGAAAGGGGUGCUAAUACCGGAUAAUGUCUUCGGACUAAAGAUUUAUCGCCUUUGGAUGGGCCCGCGUUGGAUUAGCUAGUUGGUAGGGUAAAAGCCUACCAAGGCGACGAUCCAUAGCUGGUCUGAGAGGAUGAUCAGCCACACUGGGACUGAGACACGGCCCAGACUCCUACGGGAGGCAGCAGUGGGGAAUAUUGGACAAUGGGCGAAAGCCUGAUCCAGCAAUGCCGCGUGAGUGAUGAAGGCCUUAGGGUUGUAAAGCUCUUUUACCCGGGAUGAUAAUGACAGUACCGGGAGAAUAAGCUCCGGCUAACUCCGUG
rnacentral:rRNA from 1 species